AAUCUAACUCAAGGAAUCAGGCUAGGAUUUAUACCAUCAAAUUUUACAACCCUAAAAAUUUAAUAAAACUAGAUUCUACUUAUAUAAAUCCUAAUUUAUAUGCUCAAUUAUCAUAAAAUAAGAAAAAAAAUUGAAAAAUAAAAAUUUGGAGUAUAAAUGAGAGCUCACAUAAAUCCUAAAUCCUAAACCAAAUCCUAAUCAAAUCUUAAAUCUUAAACCAAAUUCAAAACCAAUCCUAAGCCUUAAACCAAAUCCUAAGAUAGUUUAGAACCUUGAUAUCUUUUGAUUAAAUUACAAAUCUUGUUUAAAAUUUUACUCACUUU
rnacentral:lncRNA from 1 species